rnacentral:tRNA from 1 species
GCCUGGGUGGCUCAGUCGGUUGAGCAUCCGACUUCGGCUCAGGUCAUGAUCUCGCGGUUCGUGGGUUCGAGCCCCGCGUCGGGCU